CAGAAGUACAAAAGCUUGACAACAUACGCUGUUGGUAAGCCUGGGGAGAAACAGGUAUUUCCACACAUUGCUGUUGGGAUUGCAAAAUGGCACAACUCCCCUGGAAGGAAAUCUGGCAAUAUUUAACAAAAUUACAUGUUCAUCUACUCUUUGAUUCAGUGACUCUUCUAGAAAUCUAGCUGAUACACCUCCACAAAUGCAAACUAUGAUGUACAGAUAUGAUAUGCAAAUGCAAAAUAAGAUAUGCUAUACAGAUAUGCUAUUUGCAAUAGGAAUGGCUUGAAAACCAGUACAACUACCCAUGAAUAGGAGACUGAUUGAAUAAACUAGGGCACAUCUACACGCACACACAUAUUUAUGCAUAUGUAUUUUUUCAAAGAAAUAAUAAACAAGAAAUUGUUGAAAAUGGAAAUGGCUACUUCUGAACAAUGGGUGAGAUGGGAAUAGGGAACAGGGUGAGAGCAAGAACUCUUGGAGUAUCUUUCUUUAUACAGUUUUAACUUUUCAAUCAUGUAAAUUACUCAUAUAUUCAAAAACCAAAAUUAAGUCAAAUGGGAAAAAAUCAAAUUAAACACAAACAGAAACAAUUGAACACAAACAGAAACAAAUGAACAGACCUGAAUAUAAAACCUAAUCACACAGGGGAAAUGAUUACUUCAAAUAACUUUAGAACAUAGAACACUGGCAGUAACAUUUUCCAGACACACAUUGUAAGGACAAAUAAAACUAUGUUUUCUGAUUUCCAUUGUGUGCAUGUUCCUGUAGACUGAUUUCAAGUCACCAGUGGUUUCACAACUAUCUGGCAAGAUUCCUGACAAUUUAGCAAUUGAUUCUCAUAAGCCGGUUCUAUCUGGCUCUAAGAAAUCAUUGCUUAUAGGUACUCUAGUCAAGGUAACAAGCUGUCUGUCAACAAAGCAAAGCAUAAAUCAAAAAAGAUGAAAGAAAAUAUCUAGAAAAAUUAUGAAAAGCCUCCAUGCAGAUUGAAGUGUGACAAACACAUAGCUCCAGCUCCUUAUCUUCCAUGGUCCUCAGGUCUUGGGCUGUCUUCAUGCAGUCGUUAGCUUGUUCCUAUGGUCUUCAGUGGAAGUUGUCCCCUUCCUGCAGUUUUCUGCUUCUGGAUGAUUCCUCAGUAUUCUCCAUUUGAGGUCUCUGAUAGCAAUGUCCUCCUGAUUCAAGAAUGGCUAAUUUCUCCUUGGUCAAGAAACAGGGAUAUAGCUGGGCACAGUGGCUCAUGACUGUAAUCUCAGCACUUUGGGAUGCUGACGUGGGAGGAUAUCUUGAGGGAUUGAGGGCAGGUGUUUGAGACCAGCCUGGGCAACAUGGCAAGACCCCAUCUCUUAAAAAAAAAAAAAAUUAGCUGGGUGUGGUGGCGCAUGCCUGUAGUCCCAGCUACUUGGAGGCUGAGGUGGGUCAUUUGAACUGGGGCGUUUGAGUUUACAGUGAGCUAUGAUUGCAUCGCUGCACUCCAACCUGGGUGACAAAGACCCUGUCUUAAAAAAAGGAAGAAAGAAAGAAGGAUGCAAGGAUCAAUACCCUAGAGUUCAAUUGCUGUGUUAUUUGUUAGUUAGUGCCUACAAGGUCCUUUCCACUGAGGUAAAGGGCAGUCUUUUUCUGAUGUGUCCUUCAGCAGAUGAAGCCUCUACAUUUUAAAUUGUCAAUGGUUUUUGUUUUUGUUUUUUUAGAUGCAGUUUUGCUAUGUUGCCCAGGCUGGAGUGCAGAGUGCAGUAGUAGGAUCAUAGCACUCUAGCAAGAUCCAGUAGCAGGAUCAUAGCACACAAACUUCCAGCCUCAAGCGAUCCUCCCAUCUCAGCCUCCCCAGUUGCUGGGACUACAGGUGGGUGCCACCAUUCCCUACUAAUUUUUUGUUUUUUAAAAAUUGUUUGUACACACCAUGUCUUGCUAUGUUGCCCAGGUUGGUCUCAAACUUCUGGCCUCAAGUGGUUCUCCUGCUUCAGUCUUCCAAAGUGUGGGGAUUAUAGGUGUGAGCUACUGUUCCUGGCCUGGGAUUGUUUUGAGGGAUAUUUUUGAAAAGGUAUUCAUAUUUCUUGAUAAAACAAAUAGUUGUUGAUAUGAGUGUAUCAAUUCCACUUAUGUGAAGUACCUAGAGUAGCCAAAUUCAUAGUGAGAGAAAGUAGAUGGUGGUUGCAAGAGGCUGGGAGAAGGAGGAAAAUGAGGGGUUAGUGUUUAAUGGAUAGAGUUUCAGUUUUGCAAGAUGAAAAAAGUUUGGGAUGGAUAGUGGUGAUAGGGGCACAACAGCGUGAAUGUACUUAAUGCCACUGGACCAUACACUGAAAGAUGGUUAAAAUGCUAAAUUUUGUUAUGCCUAUUUUACCUCAGUUUUUACAAAACCAAGCGUAUCACCCCAGUCAUAGGCAAUAUUGGCUAUAUCAGCUCGUAAUAAGACAGUCUAUAAUGGGAGCAACAUUCCCAGGCAGAUAAGAUGACUAAGUAUCAGUUAAUAGGUUGAGAAUCAAUGGGCUAGGCCAGGCACUGUGGCUCACGCUUGUAAUCCCAAUGCUUUGGAAGGCCAAGAGAGGGAGAUCACUUGAGGCCAGGAUUUUGAGAGUUAAUGGGCUACCUAUGGAGUUGACUUCACUGUCAUUAAGAGAAAAGGCAAUAGUUUGGGUCAAGGAAGUUCAAGCGUUUCUGAAAGUUUAACUGGAGUUUGAGAAUUCUAUUUGUCCUUUCUAUAUUACUUGAGAUUUGGGAAAUUCUGAAUAAUACAAAGAAUGAUUGCAACUCAUUGAGCAAAUAAAAAGCUGAGGCCACAGUGGGGUGUGUGUGUGUGUGUGUGCGCAUGUGUGUGUGUGUGUGCGACAGAGAGAGACAGAUGGGAGAGUAAAAAAGAAAAUGUCUUCUUUACAGGAUGUUAGCUAACGAAUAUAGAAGAAAUGACAGAAUUAGGGCCAGGUGCGGUGGCUCAUGCCUGUAAUCCCAGCACUUUGGGAGGCCGAGGCGGAUGGAUCUCCUGAGGUCAGGAGUUCAAGACUAGCCUGGCCAAAAUGGCGAAACCCCGUCUCGACUAAAAAUACAAAAAUUAGCCAGGCAUGGUGGCAUGCAUUGUAAU
rnacentral:lncRNA from 10 species